GAGGUGUUUCCCUGGAAACAAGCAUACGUACGACCUUCUUCUCUGUUUCUUAAUUCGUACCAAGGAAAAAAUUAUGUUGAAGAAUCAAAGUCGAGAUUAAAGACUGGGAAGGAAUUUCUACGCAGGAGAGGCAUAUCACUACGACCCUAAGUUAUUUUUCAUCUAAGAAUUUCUAAACGCUAUCAAGAAUUCAAAUUGAGGUUAAUUCUAAAAAGUUAGUAGAUUGGCUACUGGAUAUCUUGAAUGGGUGGUUGGAAGGAUAAAAGUUACACUUCCAUGGGUUGAAUCGUUUGAGGCUCGAAAUACUAUCGUAGAGCACUAAAGGCUUAGAUCCUCAGGAUAGCACAAGUUUUCAGCUGAUUUUUUGGUGAGCUUCAUCUUUUUCUAGAGCCAUUCUAGUAUUUUUUGAUUAUAUGUACAGGAUUCUAGUUGGGUAUGUCAGACCCUAUGCCAACUAUUCACUUGUAGUAUAGCAUGUCAAAAUGACUAGAGGCUUCAUGGACAUCAUACAAUUUUGUAUUGUACAGUUUUUGUUAAUAUAACUUCCUCAUGCAUAUAUACAACUCUAAUUAGAUAUCCUGCUCAUUAUUAUCCUUAAUCUCGUGUACGUCAUAGAGUUCUUGUAAAGUAAGUGCAUACGGUUCUUGUCCACCAUUACUAUUUUGGGGCGUGACAUAAAGACACCCAUGGUCUACAUGUGGGUUCGGCUCCCCCUGUUGGAAGGGCUCCAGUACGUGUUAGCCGCACAUAUCAAUGAAAUCGAGGAAAGGCUAAAUGCACCAAGGCUGUAACCAUCCCAAAUAUAAUGUAUACACCAAGAACAUGGUCAAAUAGACCCCUACACCGAUAAACAUGAUUUUCAAUAUUGGUCCCCUCGGGACCUAUACCUUCACGGUGAGCUACACAAUUCUCUUUAAGCCCAAAUUAAAAUAGUUUGCAAAUAAACCAAACCAUAAACCAAGGAGUCUUUAUUAAGGCAUUUACCAACCUGCUAUCUUCAUACCAAUAUUCUUGCAAGCUUAUAUAAUUAUGCCAAAUCAAUCCAUGUAACCAUUUGACUCCCAAGUUUCAUUUAAAAUCCAAACCAUGGCUACCAAGGGCCUUUAAAACUCAUUUUUUUUAUCCAUUUAUCUUUUAAUGCAAUGUAAUGUUUUCAAAAGAUAAAUUAAAUCAUGUAAUUAACCAAAUUCAAGAUCAAGUUUACAAAGUAGGUUGAGGUUAAUGCCAUACCAAGCCAAAAAUCUCUCAAUUUGGAAAGUCCCAAAAACUCUCAGUUAAAGCAUGAAUAAUCCACUUAAAAUAAGGAAUAAGCAAUUCAAGUAUUAACCAUCAAAAACCCUAAAUCCAAAUUCAAAUCCAUCAUUCAAAACACAUGAAUAUUGAGUAAAUAAAUGCUAAAAUGUAAAAGAAAUACAAGUUAGGAAUGAGCAACAUGCCCUUUAGAUGAAUCAAAUUUGUGACAUCUUGAAUCCGAGCCUUAGAAGUAUGAAUUUUGGGGAAGAAAUCCCAACUUUACUCUCUUGAGAGUGGAGAGGAGAGGAAGCGUUGAUAAAAUGACUAAACGUCAAUAUAAAAGUCUUAUUGAAUGAUUUAAGUCAUGGGGAAGGAGUUUGGGGUGAGUAAAAUACCAAAAUACCCCUAAAGAAAUAAAAUAAAUCACAGUCUUAUUGAAUGAUUUAAGUCAUGGGGAAGGAGUUUGGGGUGAGUAAAAUACCAAAAUACCCCUAAAGAAAUAAAAAAAAAUCACAGGGAUUCUCCAGUUGACCACUAGGUUGACAAACCGUCAAUUUGGUUACAACUUGUCAACAUAGUCACCAAUAUUUAGUUGAUUUUGCCAUUUACUGGUUAAGGUUGACGGCUCGUCAACUUAAUUGUCACCUAGUUGAUAGCUCGUCAACUUAGUCGUCACUUUCUGCAGACAGAUACUUCCAAGUAAAAUGAGCAUAACUUUCUACUCUGAUAUCGUAUUAAGGUGAAAUUAGAGGAGUUAGAAAUAAGACUCGAAGACCUUUCAUUUGAUAUAUAGUAGGCCACCUAACUCGUGAUAUUCUAGAAGUAAUGAUCGCUGAAAUUUGACCCAAGUUGAAACAUCCAAUAAAACUCAAUCGGUAGAAACAUUCUCGACUCAUCUUU